AUGUCUGUAAUUUAAAGGGAAAAUACUUAUCUUCGAAAUAAAUAAUAGGAGUUCAAAUCUUCUCGGACAUU
rnacentral:tRNA from 1 species